GCGCAGACGGUUAUACUAGACAGGCGUGAAUCCCCGGGCUUAACCUGGGAAUGGCGCUUGUGACUGUAUAGCUAGAGUGUGUCAGAGGGGGGUAGAAUUCCACGUGUAGCAGUGAAAUGCGUAGAUAUGUGGAGGAAUACCUAUGGCGAAGGCAGCCCCCUGGGAUAACACUGACGCUCAUGCGUGAGAGCGUGGGGAGCAAACAGGAUUAGAUACCCCGGUAGUCCACGCCCUAAACGAUGCUGACUAGUUGUUCGGGAUUUUCAUCCCGAGUAACGUAGCUAACGCGUGAAGUCAGCCGCCUGGGGAGUACGGUCGCAAGAUUAAAACUCAAAGGAAUUGACGGGGACCCGCACAAGCGGUGGAUGAUGUGGAUUAAUUCGAUGCAACGCGAAAAACCUUACCUACCCUUGACAUGUCACUAACGAAGUAGAGAUACAUUAGGUGCCCGUAAGGGAAAGUGAACACAGGUGCUGCAUGGCUGUCGUCAGCUCGUGUCGUGAGAUGUUGGGUUAAGUCCCGCAACGAGCGCAACCCUUGUCUUUAGUUGCUACGCAAGAGCACUUUAAAGAGACUGCCGGUGACAAACCGGAGGAAGGUGGGGAUGACGUCAAGUCCUCAUGGCCCUUAUGGGUAGGGCUUCACACGUCAUACAAUGGUGCAUACAGAGGGUUGCCAACCCGCGAGGGGGAGCUAAUCUCAGAAAAUGCAUCGUAGUCCGGAUCGUAGUCUGCAACUCGACUACGUGAAGCUGGAAUCGCUAGUAAUCGCGGAUCAGAAUGUCGCGGUGAAUACGUUCCCGGGUCUAGUACCCACCGC
rnacentral:rRNA from 1 species